rnacentral:rRNA from 1 species
UCGAACGGGACUCUUCGGAGUUUAGUGGCGGACGGGUGAGUAACGCGUGAGAAUCUGCCCUUAGGUUGGGGACAACAGUUGGAAACGACUGCUAAUACCCAAUGUGCCGAGAGGUGGAAGGCUAACUGCCUGGGGAUGAGCUCGCGUCUGAUUAGCUAGUUGGAGUGGUAACGGCACACCAAGGCGACGAUCAGUAGCUGGUCUGAGAGGAUGAUCAGCCACACUGGGACUGAGACACGGCCCAGACUCCUACGGGAGGCAGCAGUGGGGAAUUUUCCGCAAUGGGCGAAAGCCUGACGGAGCAAGACCGCGUGAGGGAGGAAGGCCUAUUGGUUGUAAACCUCUUUUGAUAGGGAAGAACACAAUGACGGUACCUAUCGAAUCAGCAUCGGCUAACUCCGUGCCAGCAGCCGCGGUAAUACGGAGGAUGCAAGCGUUAUCCGGAUUUAUUGGGCGUAAAGCGUCCGUAGGUGGCAAACCAAGUCAGUUGUUAAAGCGUAGAGCUUAACUCUAUAAGGGCAAUUGAAACUGGUUAGCUAGAGUGCGAUAGGGGCAAGGGGAAUUCCCAGUGUAGCGGUGAAAUGCGUAGAUAUUGGGAAGAACAUCGGUGGCGAAGGCGCCUUGCUGGGUCUGCACUGACACUGAGGGACGAAAGCUAGGGGAGCGAAAGGGAUUAGAUACCCCUGUAGUCCUAGCCGUAAACGAUGGAUACUAGGCGUUGUCCGUAUCGACCCGAGCCGUGCCGAAG